rnacentral:tRNA from 1 species
GCCUGGGUGGCUCAGUCGGUUAAGUGUCUGACUUCGGCUCAGGUCAUGAUCUCAUGGUUUGUGGGUUCGAGUCCCACAUCGGGCU